AUAAUUUAUAUCUUACUCUUAUUUAUUUAUGUCAUUUUUCAGAAAUAUCUUUUAAUUUAGUAUACUAAAGAAAAAUAUUUAUUGUUAUAGAGAAUUAGUACUGUGAAGGAAUAGAUGAAAUACGAUGAAAAAUUAAUUUUGAAUAAGUAUGUCUUACUUGCAGUACCUUUUGUAUCAGGGUUAAUCAAAUAUAUUAAUUUAUUUUAUUUUCUCGAUUUCAAAAGAGCUAACCUCUUAUUUUAGUUAAUGUUUCAUAAUUAUUAUAAAUAUGGGUUGGUGGAGAAAUUCUAUUCGGUUUUGAAGGAUCUAGUUUUUUAAUAAUUAAAUUUAAUUUAACUCUUUUAUUUAAAACUUAUAUUUUAUUAAUUUUUAUUUAAUAGGUGAAAAAUUAUAGGGGAUAAGCUCUAUAUUAUUCUAUAAAUACUCUGGUUGUUUAAUUUUUGUAGGGUUAUAAUUAUCCAUCAUUAGAAAGUGUGUUAUAAUUUAUUUUUAUAUUAUACGAUUUUUUUUUGUUUUAGUAUCAUAUUAAAAUAUUAUAAUAAAUAAUACAUUUUAAGAAAUAAUGAUUGAAUUAGUAUAAUGUUGUGUUUAUAAAUAUUAUUUAUUUAGGAUAAAAUAAGGAACUCGGCAAAUAUAGUUCUCGCCUGUUUAACAAAAACAUGUCCUUUAGAAUUUAAUUUAAGGUCUGACCUGCCCAGUGAUUAAUUUAACGGCCGCGGUACACUGACCGUGCAAAGGUAGCAUAAUCAUUAGUCUUUUAAUAGGGGGCUGGAAUGAAAGGUUUAACGAGGAACUGACUGUCUUAUUUUAUUUGUUUUAAAAUUUAAUUUUUUAGUCAAAAAGCUAAAAUAAUAUUGGUAGACGAGAAGACCCUAUAGAUCUUUAUAUGUUAUCAUAUAAUUAUUUUUAUAUUAAUAUUUUUAUUUGGUAAUGUAUUUUGUUGGGGUGACAAAAAUAUACGAUAAACUUUUUUAUUUUAUUAACAUUGAUUUAUGAGUUCAUGAUCCAGUAUUACUGAUUAUUAGAUUAAGUUACCUUAGGGAUAACAGCGUAAUUUUCUCCCAGAGUUCAUAUUUACGGGAAAGUUUGCGACCUCGAUGUUGGAUUAAGGAUAAUAGUUAGGUGUAGCCGCUUAAUGUGUAGGUCUGUUCGACCUUUAAACUCUUACA
rnacentral:rRNA from 1 species